GUGGGGAAUAUUGGGCAAUGGGCGAAAGCCUGACCCAGCAACGCCGCGUGAAGGAAGAAGGUUUUCGGAUCGUAAACUUCUAUCCUUGGUGAAGAUAAUGGCGGUAGCCAAGAAGGAAGCCCCGGCUAACUACGUGCCAGCAGCCGCGGUAAUACGUAGGGGGCAAGCGUUGUCCGGAAUGAUUGGGCGUAAAGGGCGCGUAGGCGGCCCGGUAAGUCUGAAGUGAAAGUCCUGCUUUUAAGGUGGGAAUUGCUUUGGAUACUGUCGGGCUUGAGUGCAGGAGAGGUAAGCGGAAUUCCCGGUGUAGCGGUGAAAUGCGUAGAGAUCGGGAGGAACACCAGUGGCGAAGGCGGCUUACUGGACUGUAACUGACGCUGAGGCACGAAAGUGUGGGGAGCAAACAGGAUUAGAUACCCUAGUAGUCC
rnacentral:rRNA from 1 species